rnacentral:rRNA from 1 species
UGGGGAAUAUUGCACAAUGGAGGGAACUCUGAUGCAGCGACGCCGCGUGAGUGAUGAAGGAAUUCGUUUCGUAAAACUCUGUUCUAUGGGAAGAAAAGGACUGUACCAUAGGAGAAAGCUCCGGCUAAAUACGUGCCAGCAGCCGCGGUAAUACGUAUGGAGCGAGCGUUGUCCGGAAUUAUUGGGCGUAAAGGGUGCGCAGGCGGCUUUACAAGUUGGAUGUGAAAUAUUGUGGCUCAACCACAAACGUGCAUCCAAAACUGCAAAGCUUGAGUUAAGGAGAGGUAAGUGGAAUUCCUGGUGUAGCGGUGGAAUACGUAGAUAUCAGGAGGAAUACCGGUGGCGAAGGCGACUUACUGGACUUAAACUGACGCUCAGGAACGAAAGCGUGGGGAGCAAACAGG